GAUGAACGCUGGCGGCGUGCUUAACACAUGCAAGUCGAACGGUGAAAGAGGAGCUUGCUCCUCUGGAUCAGUGGCGAACGGGUGAGUAACACGUGAGUAACCUGCCCUUGACUCUGGGAUAAGCACUGGAAACGGUGUCUAAUACCGGAUACGAGCUUCAGCCGCAUGGCUAGGAGCUGGAAAGAAUUUCGGUCAAGGAU
rnacentral:rRNA from 1 species